UACAGAGGUCUCAAGCGUUGUUCGGAUUCAUUGGGCGUAAAGGGUGCGUAGGCGGCGCGGUAAGUCGGGUGUGAAAUCUCGGAGCUUAACUCCGAAACUGCAUUCGAUACUGCCGUGCUUGAGGACUGGAGAGGAGACUGGAAUUUACGGUGUAGCGGUGAAAUGCGCAGAUAUCAGGAGGAACACCAGUGGCGAAGGCGAGUCCCUGGACAACUCCUGACGCUGAGGCGCGAAAGCCGGGGGAGCAAACAGG
rnacentral:rRNA from 1 species